rnacentral:rRNA from 1 species
GAUGAACGCUGGCGGUAUGCUUAACACAUGCAAGUCGAACGGACUCUUCGGAGUUAGUGGCGGACGGGUGAGUAACGCGUGAGAAUCUGGCUUUGGGUUCGGGACAACCACUGGAAACGGUGGCUAAUACCGGAUGUGCCGAGAGGUAAAAGAGAAAUUGCCUGAAGAUGAGCUCGCGUCUGAUUAGCUAGUUGGUGAGGUAAAGGCUCACCAAGGCAGCGAUCAGUAGCUGGUCUGAGAGGAUGACCAGCCACACUGGGACUGAGACACGGCCCAGACUCCUACGGGAGGCAGCAGUGGGGAAUUUUCAGCAAUGGGCGAAAGCCUGACGGAGCAAUACCGCGUGAGGAAAGAAGGCUCUUGGGUUGUAAACCUCUUUUCUUAGGGAAGAACAAAAGGACGGUACCUAAGGAAUCAGCAUCGGCUAACUCCGU